rnacentral:rRNA from 1 species
CCUACGGGGGGCAGCAGUGGGGAAUAUUGCGCAAUGGGCGAAAGCCUGACGCAGCGACGCCGCGUGAGGGAUGAAGGUCUUCGGAUCGUAAACCUCUGUCAGCAGGGAAGAACGGUCACUGUGCUAAUCAGCAGUGAAUUGACGGUACCUGCAAAGGAAGCACCGGCUAACUCCGUGCCAGCAGCCGCGGUAAUACGGAGGGUGCGAGCGUUAAUCGGAAUUACUGGGCGUAAAGCGCUCGUAGGCGGUAUGUCAAGUCAAGGGUGAAAUCCCCGCGCUCAACGUGGGAACUGCCUUUGAAACUGGCAGACUGGAGUGUGUGAGAGGAUAGUGGAAUUCGAGGUGUAGGAGUGAAAUCCGUAGAUAUCUGGAGGAACAUCAGUGGCGAAGGCGACUAUCUGGCACAUAACUGACGCUGAGGAGCGAAAGCGUGGGUAGCAAACAGGAUUAGAUACCCUAGUAGUC